CGGAUUGUAGGCUGAAACUCGCCUACAUGAAGCUGGAGUUACUAGUAAUCGCAGAUCAGAAUGCUGCGGUGAAUGCGUUCCCGGGUCUUGUACACACCGCCCGUCACACCACGGGAGUUGGAGACGCCCGAAGCCGAUUAUCUAACCUUUUGGAAGAAGUCGUCGAAGGUGGAAUCAAUAACUGGGGUGAAGUCGUAACAAGGUAGCCGUAUCGGAAGGUGCGGCUGGAUCACCUCCUUUCUAAGGAGA
rnacentral:rRNA from 1 species